UUUGAGCUCCCUGAUCACCAACCUGAAACUACAAUUUAUUCUGUACUGAAGAACAAUAAAAACAUCACCAUUUCCCAAGAAGACUCAUGGCAAUUGCAAAUCCUUUUAUAAGGCUAAUGAAACUGCAUCCCUUGGUCUAAAUACAGUCAUGACUUUAUGUCAUAUGACACCCAGCCCUACAAUAUCGUAGAAGUCCACAGAAGCUGUCUGGGAGAGGAGGAGUAUACUGAGAUUGGGCUACCUGAGCUGUGAGUAAAGCCCUGCAGCUUGACACCCAUCUUGAGCUGGGGACUAUCACUGCUGCUUCAUCAGUACCUGCAGCCAUGACCCAGAUG